rnacentral:misc_RNA from 1 species
UCCGGUUUGUCACCGGCAGUCUCCUUAGAGUGCAUCCCUUGCGGGAUUAGCAACAUCGAAUAGGGGUUGCGCUCGUUGCGGGACUUAACCCAACAUCUCACGACACGAGCUGACGACAACCAUGCAGCACCUCUGCUGGCUUCCUUGCGGAUCAGCCUAUGUUUCCAAAGGCUUACUACCAGUAGUUCAAGCCCGGGUAAGGUUCUUCGCGUUGCGUCGAAUUAAACCACAUGCUCCACCGCUUGUGCGGGCCCCCGUCAAUUCCUUUGAGUUUCAUUCUUGCGAACGUACUCCCCAGGUGGGAUACUUAUCACUUUCGCUUAGCCACUGAGAUUGCUCCCAACAGCUAGUAUCCAUCGUUUACGGCGUGGACUAC